CCGUGCUAGCCGGGGAGUCAGCGGUGCCUUGUACCUGCAAUCCGCUAAAGCAGGGGUGAUGCUUUGUCUGAGGCUUUCAUUUGUUUGGUCUGCCCUUAGCAAGUAGUGAUGACGACUGAGUCUUGCGCAAUAAGCACUUAUGAACCGUGUCAGGUCCGGAAGGAAGCAGCACUAAGUAAGCCCGCUUAUGUGCCGCGAGGGUGCUUGGUUAGAGCUAACUACUAAGGUAACGCUUAUAGAUGACUGUCGAAGCAAAGUGCACGG
rnacentral:SRP_RNA from 1 species